GGGCUAACAUUUCAAACACGAUGCGUUCUCUGCAUAGAGGUCGGUCUGGGCCUUGCACGGCAGGGUCUCCGAACCAUGUCAGGACCUAGCGGUAGCAGCAUUAAGGGGAAUACCCUGGGUGUUGCAAGAUCACCUGGGCUGACCUCUAUGCAGAGAACUUGGCCU
rnacentral:SRP_RNA from 1 species